AGCAGCCUAAAUAAUACCCUUCUGCAUUAUGAAGGAUAGCUAUCAGGGAGUGAAGUUGAAGUUUUGGCAAUGUUUCACUAUAUUUUGCAAUGAUGUUACAUUGUCUUCAUUAACAGCAUUAUAACUAUUAGUUAUUGUGGUCAACCAAGAGGAAUUGCAAACAUCUGAAUUGCUCGAGGAGCCUCCAGGGCAGAAAAUGACUCGAGAACAAUACAUACUAGCCACACAGCAGAACAACCUGCCGAGACCUGAAAACGCACAACUCUACCCUGUGGGGAUUUAUGGAUGGCGAAAGAGGUGCUUAUACUUCUUUGUCCUUCUGCUGUUGGUUACCAUGAUAGUUAACUUAGCCAUGACAAUAUGGAUAUUGAAGGUUAUGAAUUUCACUGUGGAGCUGAAGCUGUUGAGGCACAGUGCAAAAGAUUCGAAGUGAGAGCAAGUGAAGAUGGCAGGGUGCUGUUUUCUGCAGAUGAAGAUGAGAUCACUAUUGGGGCUGAGAAGCUAAAGGUUACAGGGAGAACUGCAGCUCAAAUGAUAUUACUUCCUUUAAGUUGUAGAAAAGCUCUAGUUGCCUGGAAAAUCAACCAGAGUCAGUAAGUGUGCUCAGACCACGUGUCAAUUGACCAUCCGCACAAGGAACUGGAGUCCCCAACCUCUUCGGACAACAAUGACCUCAGAUGAACUCAACUAUAAUGAAAUGAAUUAAAGUGGCUCUCAGUUUUAGAUAGUGCCUUAACUCCGCAAAAGUCAAAGUAUUGUGGAGUUCUUUGCUUUUGGGCGACCUCUGAAAAGCUCUCUGAUAGAAAGUGGCUAACUCCUGUUGGAAACCUUUCUGUAAACGUCUAGCACUGUGUUGCCCUGAGCUCAGCAUCGGCAGUUUCAUCACGCCCUCUGAGGAACUGAAGGAGCAGUAUUUGGACACUCUGUGGAAACACCUCACAUCAGAGCAGAGCCAUCUCAAGACCUCAGGCUUGAAUCACCAACCAGAUCCUUGAAAAUGGAGGCUCCACGUGGGGUCCAGGUGAGCGCAGCUGCAGGUGACUUCAAGGCUACCUGCAGGAAGGAGCUGCACUUACAGUCCACAGAAGGGGAGAUAUUUUUAAAUGCAGAUUCAAUCCGGCUGGGAAAUCUACCAAUCGGUUCCUUCUCUUCUUCAACCAGCUCCUCAAAUUCUCGACAGACAGUGUAUGAACUGUGCGUCUGCCCCAAUGGCAAACUCUACCUUUCUCCAGCUGGGGUAGGCUCCACCUGUCAGUCCAGUAGUAGCAUUUGCUUGUGGAACUGAAGCGACUGAUUUCUCCUCACACCAGAAUAGCCUUUUGUUCCCGUCCGUCUGCUUCACGGUUUUGCUCGGUUUCCCCUGUGAUCAGUGCAGAGCGUCUUCAGAUGGACCACAGAGCAAACUGUUCCAGUAUCCGCCGGGAUUGGCCUUCACCUUUCCUGAUUCACCAUUCUCAACACACUGAGUGGGACUGACUCGGCCGUGGGAAAAACAUCUUCAGCAGAAAACCUGGAUCGCAACCUUUGCUCAAAAGGGAGAAUAAUUUAGGUGCCUUUGCUACGUGGAGUGAAGCACACACAGUUUUAGAUUUUUGCAGAACCUGGCUGUGAACUACGCACGAACACAUUACCCAGACGAAAUUCCCAAAUCCACUGGUGACAUGAAAUGCUUAACCCCGUCAGAAGACUGAUUCUGCAGUCCGAAAGCACAAUUUUCCAUUCAUCUUUUUUGGACGUAAACUUUUAUCCCCGAAUUUUAAAAUUUUGAAGCAUUAUGUAAUGCUUGCUUUACUAAAAAAUUAAAUUCAAUACGUGAUUUUUAACUAAAUGAAAUGACGAGACAGAAUCUCUCCCUGAGUUUUUUUUGUUUGUUUGUUUGUUUGUUUGUUUGUUUCCUUCAAUUCAAUGUGUUGGUACUCUUUGUCUACUAAGUCUGGAAUUUUGUACAUUAGAUAAUUUUGAAAGCUCUCAGCAAUAUAAUCUUUACAAAAUUAACAAAAACGCCAUUAUGCUGUCAUUUGUCAGAUCUGGAUGGCCUUAUAUAGUAUUUAUGUGGUUAUUGCAUGUGACACAUUUGCUUUUAACAAAACAUCUUAACCGUUUCAAUUUAAGACAGGAGGGAUAUACUUGUGGUGGGAAUUCCUCGGUUAUUUCUUUGAAUAUUCACACGGUGUCCUUUAUCCUUAGGUUUUAAUAACACUCUUUUGUUUGCUCCACUUACAUUAAACUUGAUUUUUAAGUGCAAAAGU
rnacentral:lncRNA from 1 species